rnacentral:rRNA from 1 species
GUGCAGCAGUCGCGAAUUUUCUCAAUGGGCGAAAGCCUGAAGGAGCGACGCCGCGUGGGGGAUGAAGGGUUUCGAUCCGUAAACCCCUGUCAUUUGCGAACAAACCUUAGCAUUUAAAAGAUGUUGAGCUGAUUGUAGUGAAAGAGGAAGGGACGGCUAACUCUGUGCCAGCAGCCGCGGUAAUACAGAGGUCCCAAGCGUUGUUCGGAUUCACUGGGCGUAAAGGGUGCGUAGGUGGCUUGGUAAGUUUGAUGUGAAAUCUCCGGGCUUAACCCGGAAAUGGCAUUGAAUACUAUUGAGCUGGAGGUUUGGAGGGGGGACUGGAAUUCUCGGUGUAGCAGUGAAAUGCGUAGAUAUCGAGAGGAACACCAGUGGCGAAGGCGAGUCCCUGGACAACACCUGACACUGAGGC